rnacentral:lncRNA from 1 species
CCCACCUUGGCUGCGGUGCGGGUAGUAGACAAAGAAAACCUCUGCUGUGUAUCAUCACCUGAAAGAGCCUCUCUUGAUUAUAAAGAGAGCCUUGAGGAAAUAGCUUCGUUACACUAAGGUUAGCUUUUCCAAUUACCUUUCUCCUUUCUUCCCCUUCCUACCUGCAGGUUCUCACUCACAGGAGGAUGAGUCUUGUGUGUUGUGAAAAGUCUCCCAAUUUUUCGUCUGAUGAGCUAGAGAUGCACUGAAUAUAAUUGAAGAAGUUGAAAUUUUCUCUGGAAAAGUAAUUGAGGUGGUGCUGGCCAGGGCAACACUGGGAACCGACUGACCUUGCUGAGGACCUCUCCCACACCGGGUCCUGCUGCCAGCCCAUCCCUAACGACCCCAGAGCCUGCAUUACAAAGCCUGUUGUUUCACAUCCUUCAGGAGCAACUUAAACUUAACUGGAACAGGGUGCCUGUCCAGAAGAGACUCUCUUCAGCAGCCCAGUGGAAGAGGGGUGGCACAUCCUGUAGCCUGCAUGACUGAUGAUAAAUGUGGACCAAACAAAGCAUUGCAGGACUUCCCCAUCACUGGCGCCACAUUCUGCACGAGACAAUACCUGAAAUAUUAUAAAAGGGGAUACUGUUAGAAGGUUUACACCUAAAUUUGUGUUUAUUUAUGUUUUUGUCAUUUAUAAUAUUAAAACUUUUAUAUGAAGUACACUGUUUUAAAGCUGAGCAAGGAUUUAAUUUUGUGCAAGCUACAAGACAACAGUUACUCCUAACGCUAUGUUUUUCGUAACUCGCAGGCGGGCGUCCCAAGUCCAGG